GACGCACACUCUGUAAACCGGAAUAGGUGCAUCACCGGCCACUGAGCUAGCAAGCUAAAGUUAGCUAGUUAGUCACAGAAAUGUACGUUCAGCCUGUUAAUUAUUCCAGUCCAAUUUGACUUAUCUUCCGAAGUCAGCAUGGCUUAACAUGGUUAAUUUUGUUUUUUGACCUCGACAUUGUUGCUGGAUAGAUACUUACAUAGCUAAUGCUAACCACGGUAACGGCGCUAGCUAACCUCAUAUUUGGAUGCCGCCCUCACUCUAGUUCCCGAGAGAGAACAGCAUACUGGCUCCAUUCCCAAACCUGAAGCCCCCUGUCCCCAGCAGGAAAGACCAGGAGAAAAGUGUUGGCUUAAGGUACAACUUCCUAUUGAGGAAAUAUCUGCCAACCUGCUCGGUGGGUGACAGGUAACCAUCUUUCCUCCAAGCUGUUCCAGGCAUGGAGUGACAUGCUGGAACUUCCAGAGGCUUGUAGACCUGAAGCAGUGUGAUGUGGUCCAGAUCUGACACCCCUAUUAGCUCAACCAGUCUUAACAGCUGCAGUCGUCUGCCCCUGCACCUGCUACACGGGCCACGAAAGGUGAUACAGAUCUGCCACCCCCAGCAGUUCAGCUGCAGUCACGGAAUUCCCCUGCUGUGGUAUUUUAUUUACCGGCUGCACCAGUUCCCACUACACUGGCUGUGAAGGGAGAAACUUUCGAGUAUUCCCAGAUGGAUACAGCUCUCUUUCAGAUCUGCCAUGUUCUCCACCACUGCCUGACAGGCCCAGUGUCUUCUGGGUGAGGCUAUCAAGACUGACAAAGCAGAGAUGGGUGGCUGACAAGGAAAAAUAAAAUGAAACAUGCGCACACACUAUCCACAAUGUACAGUGGGGGGGGAAAGUAUUUGAUCCCCUGCUGGUUUUGUACGUUUGCCCACUGACAAAGAAAGGAUCAGUCUAUAAUUUUAAUGGUGGGUUUAUUUGAACAGUGAGAGUCAGAAUAACAACAAAAAAAUAGAGAAAAACUAAUGU